GAAAUGCGAUAAGUAAUGUGAAUUGCAGAAUUCAGUGAAUCAUCGAAUCUUUGAACGCACCUUGCGCUCCUUGGUAUUCCUUGGAGCAUGCCUGUUUGAGUAUCAUGAAAUCUUCAAAGUAAAUCUUUUGUUAACUCAAUUGGUUUCUACUUUGGUAUUGGAGGUCUUUGCAGCUUCACACCUGCUCCUCUUUGUUCAUUAGCUGGAUCUCAGUGUUAUGCUUGGUUCCACUCGGCGUGAUAAGUUAUCUAUCGCUGAGGACACUGUACAAGGUGGCCAAGGUAAAUGCAGAUGAACCGCUUCUAAUAGUCCAUUGACUUGUACAAUACUUUUAUGAUCUGAUCUCAAAUCAGGUAGGACUACCCGCUGAACUUAAGC
rnacentral:misc_RNA from 1 species